CAGGUUUCUGUGAGUUCAUGGAGAGAGAGGUGGCACUUGAAGGGGCCUUUUGUUACCGUUUCUGUGCUGGUCUCUUACCAAAGGCUUGCUUCUCUGCUGCCCAUCCUUAAAGGCCCAACCUUAGGGGAUUGUUUACUUCUCAGCUUCAGGAGGAAUGUUCCAAAGUGUUCUCAAGUAGUUGAGAAGUGAAGAAGGAGUGAGAAGGAGGAAGGAGCCUGGUCUGAAAUUGGAUGGGGACCCUUAAUCGCAAACUUGGGUGCAUGCAUAGUAUUUUGGAAGCCGGAACAAUACUGCUAAGCAAAUGAUGUCCGUGACCCUCACCCGGGCACCCGACUGGAGGAACCCUAGAGGGUAAUUCCAUGGGCUGUGGGGGAUCAUCUUAUGAAUGCUCCAAGUACAUCACUCUCCAGUGCAGACAAACACAGGGACAAUUUCUCCUGCGUGCUGACAUCACUCUCCUACCUAUAUCAGCAGGAUUCCAAGGCAGUGGAUGGCUGAGGGCCCACGAUUUCUCUAUCCAAUUCCAGCCAUAGGCUGCCUGCACAUGCCCAGGACCUUCUCCGUGCCCUUCUAGAAACUACCCCUGCAUGUCUCCUGCCCUACCUCCCUUUCCUCAGAAGCUGGUCCUGUUGUUCUGUAGUCCUUGGAGAUUACUGUCUUGUUCUCGGUGGCUCAAAGAGAGAAAACUGGAGCAUGAUUUGGGGGUUAUGGAAACGAUAAAACAGCGGGCUGGGGGAGAGAGCCAUUUGAUCACAGACAUGGAUGCUGCUGUAAUGAAAACCUACAAGGAUAGUGUCAUCAUUUGGAAUCUGGGAGAAGUUGGUUCAGGAUCCCUGCAGAUCCCUUCAUACUUCGUCCUGUAAGCUCUCCAGGAUGAGUUAUCACCUAGAACAAUGUACAUCUUAGAGCAGUAAUUGCCACAGUGCAUGAUUCAGGAACAGGAACGAACAUAUUAGCAUAGACAGAAAUUUUUGCGCCAGAUAUUUUUGACUCGAG
ensembl:lincRNA Gm43950 predicted gene, 43950